ACCACCGCCUAAGAUAUCAAUCCUAUUCUCAUGCUGAACGCUAAGUAGAAAGGAUAGAUUCACACUUUUAUAGUCUCUGACAUGACUCGGUGGGGUUUGAACCCAAGACCUUCCGCACUGAAAGCGAAGGCUCUACCACAAGGAUAGCUAGUUAAGUUUUUAGUAUUUUUUUAGACACAUGCAGUCUUUCUAAUUCAUUUUUGUCUUGCGGGUGACUUAUUGCUGACGUGAACCUCUAUAAACCUAAGUUGAGGCUUUAUCAUGCUGGCAUUAUAGUGGCAUGGCGUAGCUAUAUAUUAUACUAGUAUUGAGUCAUCAACAUAACCAUGUGUCAGUCAGAUACAGAUUAGAUAUAUACGUUUUGACGUAUAUAAUAACUGGCUCCUUUUGUCUGUUAUUGUCGUAACGUGCAUAUACACCUAAAUAAAAUCGUAUUGUUAGGUCAAAAUUUAUAAUUGUCCUUAAAAAAAAUCUGAUCCCCCUGCUUUAAAUGCCUGAAUUCGGAAAGUAUAGCUAUUACAGAAUCAAUUUUUAUGCUAAUCCCAUCAGACCAGCCUAAAAGCAUCUCCUAACAAGUUUUAACUCAAUAUCUUUCUUUUUCAUCCUUCUUUUUUAUCAUAUUGCAGUUUCGGUUUUCACGAAACGGGUCCCUGGAAACUCAUUUACAACUAAAUGGCCACUAUGGUCAAACCAAUUGACUUUUUUCAAUAAAUUUAUGUUUGUUGCUUUACUAAGAGAUUAAAAGUCAUAAAACAUAGGAUGUUACAUUUCAUGCAGUCAGAGAAAAUUGUUAUUUAAUCUGUAAUCGAUUGUUAUUUAAAAUCUGUAACCAAUUGUUAUUUAAUCUGUAACCGAUUAAUUAAGACUAAUUAGAAGGUACGUACAGAUUAAUUAAGUGUAUAGCUACCUAUUUGGUUAAUUAAAUGGUAUGAACUUCCUAAUCCAGUUUUUUAACCUUUUUCGACCAAAUCAACAGCAUGUGAUUUUAUUUUUUUGUUUAUGUUUAUUUUUUAUUUAUUUUUAUGUUUAGCUAGCUAGCUAUGUGUUCUGCCUCCUUUAGAAAAAAUAUUAGCGUGAGUGUAAAAUAUUAGCGUGAGUGUAAAAGAAGGUCUGUUCGGGAGAAAUAGGAUUAGUUAUGUAUACCUGUAUAAAGCUUUUGUUGUAUUUGAGCUAGCUAGAUAGCUGCUAAACAUGUGUUCGAGCAAACCUACAUUGUGUUUUUUACUACACCCUGUGCACAAAAGCUAGUAUAGCUAGCCAUUCUAGCUCUUAGUCUAGUAUAGAUACCUCCUCAACUGCACUGCAAAAAAAACAGAACCUUACUUUAACAGUCUCUAAAAGUAUAACUAAAAGCUAUUUAAUUUUUUUUGCACGUUAAGCUAUACUAACAAUGCCAAAAUAUUUUAUUUUUCACAAAAAUAAAUUCAGUCGAGCAGAACAUCAACAUUCCAGCGUCCCUUUCGCACAUAAACUUAGACGCCAUUAUUGUUUUUUCUGUUAUUAUUCAAUUUUUUACGCAUAAAUUAAUUUAUCUUCAUAAUUAACGGAAACUUGAGAAACCAAUCAGAUAGCAGAACUGACCAGUGUGGCCCAGGGUCAUUUCUUCUCGCCGUCCGAGAUUGUCAAAAAGAGAAAAUGGGCCUGGGGACGAGGUUGGCUAAAUCUGGCACAGUUAACAAAUAAAGUAUGCUGAAAAUGAUGAUGGUACAAUGAUUAUCCAAAAAUUUGACACAGUUAAUAAAAAAAGUAAUUCAAAAUUUUGAAAGUAUCUGUGACCAUCUUCUCUUCAACUCCAUUUCCACUGCUAUGGCUCAAAUACCACGUGGGUAAAUUCGAAUUCAAACUGUUUUUUAAUUCUUCUUGGAAUAUCAAAAGUUUAAUUUUAUGACCGAACAGUCCAAAUAUGGUCACAAACCCAAUUAGCAAGCAUAUGCUGAUUACAAGAUAUUCUCGAAUAAAAUCUUUCUCCGGGAUUAGAAAAUAUGCUGGUAGAAAGAUGGACCAUGCAACACAGUUUUGGUUCGGGAAUAUUUGACAAAAACCAAACUGCAAUCAAAAGUAUUUGAACUGCUACAAUGCCCAAAGACAUUAAAAGUAAGGACCUCGAGCUGACCAUUGGUGGUCUUGCGAUGGACUUUCUUGCAUGUCGAAAAAUUCGAAAAAUGCGGUAAAUCUUUAAAAAUAACGGUGCGUAACAAAUAAGAAAAGCCACGCCAGGUAAGCCUUCACGUACCACGCAUACAGUGAGUGACGGCUCAAUAAAAAACAAAAAUGGACUGAGAAACGUCAACCCAAUUCCCACCAGGAUCAUGUAGCACAAAUCUCUACCCGAUGCUCUCACAAGACGGAAGUGGUUGUAGUGAAUAAAAAAGGAAACGACGAUCAGAACGAAAACAAGACCAAUGAGACUUGCCAGCGUGAAAAGAUUUAUUUUCUACGAGAUUUUGCAACCAUAACUUAAUACGUGUUGAUCAUGAAGACAAAACACAAAGAAGUUUACAAAGAGCUUUAACAUUACCGAAAUAAAAGGAACACAUACCGUGAAUAAUUCUUGGUGGCUUGUCUGUGCUUGCAAUGUUGUUAUCGUUAUCUUUUAAAAAUGGUGUUGAUGUGAUGCUUUUCCUUGUGGUCCUGUUGGGUAACACUUGGGUGAGAAUCAUUGGUACGAAUGCAAUCGAUAAAUAAGAAUAAAUUGCACAAUACAUCUUGUUUGUUUUUGAUUCCACUUCUAUAAAAAGGACCUGCAUAAAAAGAACAAAAGUUACAAAAAAUGCUAGACUCAUAUCAUAUGCCUGACCAAACAUGAGGAAAUUUUAGUUACCUAUCCCUCUCAGCGUGUAUCAUACAUGGUGGCCAGUACUAAACUGGCUUAAAAUUGUUUUUCAUAGAGUUUUUUAGCAUCUAUUGAAAUGAUUUAUAAAUCCCAUUCUCUAUUCAGUAUGAGAUUUUCUCUUUCCCAAUUGAUCUACCCUUCAGAAUUGUUUUACCACAAUACCAGAAAUUCAUUAACUUAAUGGUCAAUAUUCUUUUCAAGGAGAUGGCAGCUUUUAUUAAGCUAGAUUUGUUUGGUAACUCUGUAAACAUCGUAAAUAAUUAAGAGGAAAAUUUACCUGACAAAUAACAUUCUCGAAGUUUAUUUAAGGUGCGCCACUUCGUCUGGGUUAAUGAGUCAUAUAAAAGAUCAUGCUUUUAUUCCAGCUUUGCACUAUAAAUGAACCAAAUAAACAUAAAAUUGUUUUUUAAAAUCAAUAUAUAUUUUUAAAGUGAAAGCUUUACGGCUGACGCCAUCAUCAGUAAUAUACAAAAGUUAUGAAAAAGUUUAAAAAGAAACUAAAAAGCUACUUUUUAUUUCAUAAUGGUAUCAGGUAAAUUAUCUUUUAACUUGUAUAAUAUCUUUUAAUUUUUUCUUUUAUCACAUUCAAUUACUUUUACUUCAUGUGUUGUGAUGUUUCUAAAGUAUCAACUUUGUAUAUAAAACAGACUAAACUUUUUCAUUUUAACUUUGUAUAAUACUAAUGAUGGCGUAAGCCGAAAAGCUUUUACUUUAAAAAAUAUAUAUCGUUUUUAAAAUACAAAAUGGCGAAGAGAUUUAAUAUGAAAGUGUUUCUUGAUAUUCUUUGAAUAAGGGGACUAUAUUCAACAACUUAUAAUUUUAUUUUUAACUUAAAAAAUAAGUAAAAAUAUUCAGACUGGUUUAAGCCACGAUGUUUUAUAAAAAUGUUCUCAGACGGCAUCCCCUGAUUUAGAAUAUGGCUAUAGAGGAGCCCAAAUUUUAUAGCCUUUCUUAAACAAUACGUGUCGUUAGUUUUAUAUUAUAUAUUUUUAUACAAGAUGGAACAAAUAACUUACAUACGACCAUGGCAAAAUAUCUGUAGAUUGUAAUUCUCAUUUACUGUGCUCAACAAAUAGCGUAAACGCGUCGCUUGUUUACUUGGUCUUUGCUGUUGUUGUUGUUGUUGUUUUUGUAAAUGUAUAUUUUAAAUAAUCUUUGUAAUUGUUUUGAUCGUCUCUGUUAUUCAAACACCUUUUUUUCCUUCCCUCUUCUUAAAAACAUGUUUUGUUCGCAUAUAUUAAUAUGUUCCUUAUUAUGCUCAACGAAACGAAAGUUUCCGGGUUAGUAUGUACGUUGAAAGUUCAUCAUAUUGAGCAUUCAACAAAAAUUGGAUAACAUGCAUCUUCGGGAGAAAAAGUCGCAAAAAAGUCGAUAAAAAUUCUUUGUCGGCACCUUUACAAAAUUAAGUCGUGUUUUAGCCACUAAGUUUUAUAAAGAGGUUGAAAAAUAUAAAAUAUAUAUGUGCAAAGGAAAUUGACAAAUCCUCAUUUUUUUAUAAUAAUUUAACUCAAAUUAUAAAUUGAAAUAUCCAAUGUUUUGUAUACUCUUAUAUUUUAGGCAUUUUAUUCUUAAUGCACAUUGAGAUAUCCUCCAGCAUGAAAGAAAGCUAAGCAAAAGUCAGCAAAAAACGUAGUCGGCAAAAAUUAAGUCAGGAAAAAUUUUACUCGUUGAAAAAUAUUGUCACUGAAGCAAAGUUAAGUCUUUUAGCGACUUCUUUAACGAUAGGUAUUUACUUGUUGUUUGAAAUGGUUCUGAACAAUCGAGUAAACAACCUCCGCCUUGAACAUUAAAAGAUAGUGUUUGUAAACUUCAACGCUUGAGAAGUUGAUCACAAGAUUCAGUAAAACUAUUUUUUAAAAAAAAAUCUGAGCGUAUGGUUGCCAUUCCAGCCUAAAACGUUUCUAAAGUUGCUUGCAUUUUGACACAGCUGGAUAUGAAGAGGAUCCUUUCAUAUUGUGACAAAAUUUGGAGUAAUUAUUAAGAAAAAGAUCCACCUUUACUUUAUAUGAACUGUGCAUAACGAAGGAUGAAGAAGUUAGCUGUUGUUUUCGUCUGAAAUUAAGAUUUAAUAAAUGAACUGGAAUGUUUAUCUGUUACGAGGUAAAAAAAGUUGCAGCUUAUUCCUGACCUAGACAAUUUACCCCUUCGUCAAGCAAAACGUGAAGUUCUGAUAUAGCUACAAACUGCUUUAUGCAAAGAUAAUUACUUAUUAUCCAUUGGAAAUACUACAACUCAAGGACAUUUACUAAUCAAUAACAUCUCGUAGCAAAUGGAGAGUUUUUAUUCAAGAUAAAAACGAUGGAAUUUCCUGAUUAAUUUAACCAAAUCAGCAUUGUAAAUUUCGUCAAAACACCAACAGCCUGUGAACACCCAACAACCAAGGAAAUGUUAUUAAAUAAUUUAGUGGAAAAUUUUCGUCAAAUUGAACUGUUAUAACCAAUCGACUCUCAGAUGCAGUGAACUUCUGUAUUUCAAUAAGUAAAAGUACAAUUCUCUUCUGAUCACGUAUCAGAUAAAUGACGUAAAAAACGCUUGUAAAUAUUGAAAGAUUAGAAAGUGUACAACUUACGACGUAAAAUAUUAAUAAAGCAA